rnacentral:rRNA from 1 species
AUUGAACGCUGGCGGCAUGCUUAAGACAUGCAAGUCGAACGGUAACGAUGGUAGCUUGCUAUCAGGCGACGAGUGGCGGACGGGUGAGUACAACUUAGGAAUCUGCCUAGUAGCUGGGGAUAACUUUAAGAAAUUGAAGCUAAUACCGAAUACGCCCUACGGGGGAAAGCGGGGGAUCUUCGGACCUCGCACUAUUAGAUGAGCCUAAGCCGGAUUAGCUAGUUGGUGGGGUAAAGGCCUACCAAGGCGACGAUCCGUAGCUGUUCUGAGAGGAAGAUCAGCCACACUGGGACUGAGACACGGCCCAGACUCCUACGGGAGGCAGCAGUCGGGAAUAUUGGACAAUGGGGGCAACCCUGAUCCAGCAAUGCCGCGUGUGUGAAGAAGGCCUGCGGGUUGUAAAGCACUUUCAAAUGUGAAGAAAUAUCGAGUGUUAAUAGCACUAGGUCUUGACGUUAACAUUAGAAGAAGCACCGGCUAAUUUAG